GAAGAUGGACAUCGAUUCAAUUCCAAAGUUAAGUGUGCCUUCAGUUUGUUGGACUAAUUUCGAAUAUUUCUUAGAGAAUAAAUUUAUAUAUAUUUUCUCAGCAGACUAUGCUAACAUUUACUGUCCUAUGAAUAUUACUUAAGCAUUGUUAAAUCCAUUUACCUCUCCAAUUUCCAGAGAAAAAUUCAAGCUCACUCACAUUUCAUUUAUCAUGAAUAAGCACAGAGGCUAUUAUUUUAACAGGUUCUACUAACAUAAACAUAUAGCAAUAUUAUUGUACACUUGUUAGAAAAAAUCUAUAGACCUGAAAGAGCUGAGAACAUUUUGGAUUAUCAUUACAAAUGGCCAUUGUUCCUUUUGGAAGCUGUUCCUGGUCACUAAAAAGUGUAUUGCUUUAACCACAACUCAUUAAACUGGGUUUAAUGACUCACAAAUUAUACCAACAGCAGCAUUUCUUUCAGUUGAAUAUGCAAAGUGGGUUUUUAUUCUUGUCAUGUUUGAUUAUCUACCUUGAGCAUUCUUAUAAUGGAACUAGUUAAGACAUCAUUAAAUAUUCUUCUAAUGGGAAAGUAACUCCUUUAUUAAGACAGUAUGCUUAAGUAAUAACUACCCUGGUUAUUAAAUACUCUUGUAUUACAAGAUAUUUUUUCCCUAACCUUUAAUUUUGGAGGAUGGUGAGUAAGGUCUCCUUUCCUUUAAUUAUUUAUAGACCCAAGCACCCAACAGUCAUAAUAUCUCUUAGUUUCUUUUAAAGCAGAAAAACAGGCCUUGCAUGGAAAUUCUUAAGGAAUGUCAAAGAAUGAGUCCUGUUGGAAAGACUACAUUAUCCACUCAGCAACCAAAGUCAAAACCUAAGUCUAGACACAUUCUAAAAACAGAAGUUAAAUCAAGGAUGAUAUGCUUGGCAAGGUGAGACAGUGCUCUGAAAGACAGUGGAGAAAGAACAGGACUGAGGACAACUGCCUCCCACAGUAAAACUGGAAAAAAAGGAAUUCAGAAAUAAUGACAAAAAGGCAGUGGCUCUCAAGCUUGGGCAAGCAUCAGAAUCACCAGGAAGCCUUAUUAAGACACGGAUUGCUGGGCUCCACCUCCAAAGCUUCCAAGUCAGUGGUUCUGGGUUAGGAUUCCAGAAGUUGUAUUUCUAAAAAGUCCCCAAGCAGUGCCGAUGAUACUGGUCCAACACCAGCUGAUCUAAGGCUUUGCUAGCUUGCUGCAGAGUCUUACUGGGAAAUAAGAGUCUCCACUCAGAAUUCUUGCGAAAUGAUCAUACAUGGAUACAGCAUAGAAUGUGCUAUGUUUAAAAGAGUGACAAUGUCCAUAAAACAACCUUUGGACAAACCCAAGGAGGCGUGUUCUACACAGGCACAAAGUUUCCAGGAUUUUCUGGUAACUUUCCAAACAGCUCAUGAAAGAAAAGGGAAGUAGAAUGAGAUGCUUUCAAACAAGAGGGAAAUUACUAAUCUUUCCACUUUUGUGCUUCUACAAAUGCUGCUUUGAAUGGAUAAGAUGCACCCACAGAGGGCCAGGGGUCACUCUUGUAAGCAGACAUGAAGGAAAAUUUCUAGUUUUGGAAAAGAAAAUUUUGCCUCUCAACUAGCAACUCUAGUCAAAACAUUAUUGAUAAAGGAUCAACAGCAAUCUACCAACUCCAGGACCAUUUUUGCAAGUUUUGCAGCUGGUCAUCAAUUUGCCCCAAGAGAAAUGGUAGAAACAAAAGAAUUCUAAAUGAUGAUGAAUACUCUGCCUACUUUAAGAAAGCAUUGGGGAGAGCAAUAAGUGUACAACAUUCACUAUAAAGGACUAUUCAAUCCGUGGCCACCUUUCUCAUGCACCACAGAGGAAGGAUGAUCCUGAAGUAGAAAGCCAGCAGAGGCAUGAAGGACCAGGCAGAAAGGAGGUUCAUUUAUACCAUGACAUCUUCAGAAUCGUCCAGAGGAGUGGAAAGGAGAAUCUACAAUGUGGAGUGACCAGAGGGAUGGAGCUCUGAAGUGAGGACGGUGUCUUUCCGACCUGUGAGCCAGGAUAUUGGCCGUAAUUCCUAUUUGGCCUCCCCACAGAUAGAAGACACUUCAAUGUCUUGAGGAUGGUGGAUCCUUCCCCGCCAGCUAGCUUACCUUCUGAGCCUUGGGCAUGUCAGUGUGGCGCUGGGCACGGACCGAGCGGGCAGACUUGGCAGGCUUGAGGGGUGCACAGUACAUCUCUAGCCUCCUCAGAUCACAGCUCCGGAAGCAGCACUCAUCCACGAUGCCUGUCUGAGGUGCCCUCCGACUGCUGGAGCCGUACCCUGUGGGCUUGUCUGUGCAAAUCAAACACAAGGUGGCCUGGCUUUAGAGGGGAAUAUGCUACCUCCACAGUUCCACCCAACCCCGGAAGCCUCUCUUCUCCCCACAGCUGGUCAACCUACACAUCCCAAUCUCUUCCUUGAAGCUUCCCCAACAAUUCCUGGCCCCACAAAUCCUUCUGGAUCCCAGUGUGGCUCUGGACUCUGCCCCACAUGCCUUAGCACUAACUUGUGCACUGGGGAUUUUGUGUUAAUUCUUGAGUUCUCAGAAACCUGUUGUCAAGGAUCUCGUCUACACCCAAACUGAGUCUUUCCUUAUAUAUUCGCUUAGUUAAUUAAAUGAAGAUCAUGUGUUAA